GCAAACCCCAGUGAGGACGAUCCGAGAAAGAGACAAAAGAAGCAGAGAAAGGAUUGCAGGAUCCUGGACCGGGCUGUUGAGGAUAGUCUGGUGGAGUUUUUCCGCAAAAACGAACUGCUGCUUUCUGGAACUUCCAUAGGUCACAAAGAAGCCGCAGACUAUUUCACCUGACUCAGGCUGAGAGGUGUGGUGCAGAAGAGAUCACAGCCAACAACAGGGUAUCAGGGAACAGGAGGCUAUUCCAGCUCACUUUGGGGAAAAAAGCAGCACCC